rnacentral:rRNA from 1 species
CGUGCCUAACACAUGCAAGUCGAACGGAGUUUAAGACUUCGGUUUUAACUUAGUGGCGAACGGGUGAGUAACGCGUGAGAAACCUGCCUUUUAGUGGGGGACAACAGUUGGAAACGACUGCUAAUACCGCAUAAUGUCAUUUGGGGGCAUCCCCGAAUGACCAAAGAUUUAUUGCUGAAAGAUGGCUUCGCGUCUGAUUAGCUAGUUGGUGAGGUAACGGCUCACCAAGGCGACGAUCAGUAGCCGGUCUGAGAGGAUGAACGGCCACAUUGGGACUGAGAUACGGCCCAGACUCCUACGGGAGGCAGCAGUGGGGAAUAUUGGGCAAUGGGGGAAACCCUGACCCAGCAACGCCGCGUGAAGGAAGAAGGCCUUCGGGUUGUAAACUUCUUUUAGUAGGGACGAAUACAUGACGGUACCUACAGAAAAAGCAACGGCUAACUACGUG